CCUACGGGAGGCAGCAGUGAGGAAUAUUGGUCAAUGGACGAGAGUCUGAACCAGCCAAGUAGCGUGAAGGAUGACUGCCCUAUGGGUUGUAAACUUCUUUUAUAUGGGAAUAAAACGUUCCACGUGUGGGAUUUUGUAUGUACCAUAUGAAUAAGGAUCGGCUAACUCCGUGCCAGCAGCCGCGGUAAUACGGAGGAUCCGAGCGUUAUCCGGAUUUAUUGGGUUUAAAGGGAGCGUAGAUGGAUUGUUAAGUCAGUUGUGAAAGUUUGCGGCUCAACCGUAAAAUUGCAGUUGAUACUGGCAGUCUUGAGUACAGUAGAGGUGGGCGGAAUUCGUGGUGUAGCGGUGAAAUGCUUAGAUAUCACGAAGAACUCCGAUUGCGAAGGCAGUUCACUGGACUGCAACUGACACUGAGGCUCGAAAGUGUGGGUAUCAAACAGGAUUAGAUACCCCAGUAGUC
rnacentral:rRNA from 1 species